rfam:Salmo salar isolate Sally breed double haploid chromosome ssa22, whole genome shotgun sequence.
CUGUGGUAGCCAUGUAAGUCACUCUGGAUAAGAGCGUCUGCUAAAUGACUUAAA